UACGUAGGGGGCAAGCGUUAUCCGGAUUUACUGGGUGUAAAGGGAGCGCAGACGGCGUAGCAAGUCUGAAGUGAAAACCCGCGGCUCAACUGCGGGAUUGCUUCGGAAACUGCCGUGCUGGAGUAUCGGAGGGGCAAGCGGAAUUCCUGGUGUAGCGGUGAAAUGCGUAGAUAUCAGGAGGAACACCGGUGGCGAAGGCGGCUUGCUGGACGAUAACUGACGUUGAGGCUCGAAAGCGUGGGGAGCAAAC
rnacentral:rRNA from 1 species